UGGCAAUGAGUAAUUGAAAAACAAAAUUGCCUCUGGGCCUCUCAUUGUGUGCCCACACCAGAGUAAACUGCAGCCUCGAACCACUGCCCAGCCUCCUUAUGUGUGGGCUGUGAGCACUGAAGGGGGUUGUACAGUG